rnacentral:rRNA from 1 species
GUGGGGAAUAUUGGGCAAUGGGGGAAACCCUGACCCAGCGACGCCGCGUGAGGGAAGACGGCCUUCGGGUUGUAAACCUCUUUUGUACGGGAAGAAGGAAGUGACGGUACUGUACGAAUAAGUCCCGGCUAACUACGUGCCAGCAGCCGCGGUAAUACGUAGGGGACGAGCGUUGUCCGGAAUUACUGGGCGUAAAGGGCGCGCAGGCUGUGCUGCAAGUCAGCUGUGAAAUGUCUGGGCUUAACCCGGGCAUGCGGUUGAGACUGCAGUGCUGGAGUGCUGUAGAGGCAAGUGGAAUUCCCAGUGUAGCGGUGAAAUGCGUAGAUAUUGGGAAGAACACCGGUGGCGAAGGCGACUUGCUGGGCAGCAACUGACGCUGAGGCGCGAAAGCCAGGGGAGCAAACGGGAUUAGAAACCCGGGUAGUCC